AUUGAACGCUGGCGGCAGGCCUAACACAUGCAAGUCGAACGAGUGGCGGACGGGUGAGUAAUGUCUGGGAAACUGCCUGAUGGAGGGGGAUAACUAAUGGAAACGGUAGCUAAUACCGCAUACCAUCGGAUGUGCCCAGAUGGGAGUAGUUAGUAGGUGGGGUAAAGGCUAACCUAGGCGACGCUCCAUAGCUGGUCUGAGAGGAUGACCAGCCACACUGGAACUGAGACACGGCCCAGACUCCUCCGGGAGGCAGCAGUGGGGAAUAUUGCACAAUGGGCGAAAGCCUGAUGCAGCCAUGCGGCGUGUAUGAAGAAGGCCUUCGGGUUGUAAAGUCCUGUCAGCAGGGAGGCGUUACCCGAAGAAGAAGCACCGGCUAACUCCGUGCCAGCAGCCGCGGUAAUUC
rnacentral:rRNA from 1 species